rnacentral:rRNA from 1 species
CCUACGGGAGGCAGCAGUGAGGAAUAUUGGUCAAUGGGCGCGAGCCUGAACCAGCCAAGUCGCGUGAGGGAUGACGGUCCUACGGAUUGUAAACCUCUUUUGCCGGGGAGCAAGCGUGCGUUCGUGAACGCGCGUCGAGAGUACCCGGAGAAAAAGCAUCGGCUAACUCCGUGCCAGCAGCCGCGGUAAUACGGAGGGGGCAAGCGUUAUCCGGAUUUACUGGGUGUAAAGGGAGCGUAGACGGUGCGCCAAGUCAGGAGUGAAAUGUCGCGGCUUAACUGCGGAAUUGCUUUGGAAACUGGCGGACUAGAGUGCGGGAGGGGUAAGCGGAAUUCCUAGUGUAGCGGUGAAAUGCGUAGAUAUUAGGAGGAACACCGGUGGCGAAGGCAGCUUACUGGACCGUAACUGACGUUGAGGCUCGAAAGCGUGGGGAGCAAACAGGAUUAGAUACCCGGGUAGUC